rnacentral:lncRNA from 1 species
AUGAUUUUCCAUUAAGAAUUAUGAGGAAAUAAAAGAUGUUGUGCCAAGAAGAUGGAUAAAUACAUAAAAAAAAAAAAUACUAAUUUGGUCUUCUGGUAUAUCUUAUCAUAGAGCUGACAAUGAUGAAAUAAAUGCAGAUGAAACAUGGGACAAAUAAAAACUUAUCAAAAUAAAAUUUAAGAGUGAUAAUAUAAAUGAGCUAAAAGAAUAUGGUUACACAACAGCAGAAGAGGAGUAGGAUGAAAUAGAUAAUUGUUUUACAAGUUCUAAAGGAACAUUUGAAGUCAAAAGUAAUGUUUAUGAGUUACCAGAUUUUCCAUUGCUUCCACCAGUUUUGCAAUCCAUACCAACAAAAUCAUUUGAUUUGAUUUUAAUUUGUCACCUGGAUCAACUAUUUUAAAACAAUCAAAUAUUUGCUCUGGCAUCUAAUAAUUAUUAAAUUAUAAAAAUUUAGAAUUAAUUCAAUUUGCAACACCUUUAAUCUAAAAUAUUUCUGGAUUCUUAUUUUUAGUAUUGCCUGACUCUUUACCUUUACACACAGAGGAACUAUCAACUUCGUAUUCUGAGUCACUGCUUUCACCUCAUACUCAAGAGUUCAAAAAAAAGAAAACAAAAGAAGUACAAAAGAGCCCUUGGACCAGAGAAGUUAGUUAAAAAUCAGUUUCUUAUGGAAGUUGGAAAAUACCAGCAUAUGAUGUUCAAGAUGGUAUCAAAAAUUCUUGAAAACUAAUCUAUUAUUGCUGUAAAUAAACAACCCCAUAGUAUUUUGGCAGUUAAGUAAUUAGAGACUAUAGCAGAAUACAAAGAUUUUGUCAAAUAUUUAGAGGAUGAUUCAGUUUGCCUUGAUUUGGUUAAAAAACUGAGUUUUUUAGGCGCAGAAGAUUAUAAACAGCUGACAAGAUUGGUUAUGAAUAUAUUAUUUACAAAUACCCUAUUGGCACAGUUUAAUUUAAAAGGUUCUGGUGAAAAAAUUGGUUUAUUAUCAACGAAGCUAUAUGAUGUAAUAGAAGAAGUUGUAACAAGAAGGUUUAGAAAAGUUUCAAAUUCUGAUAUAAGACAGCAAAUCGGAAGAUAUUGUAAAAAUGCUCCAUCGC